GGCUAUGAGGGCAAUAUGGUUGUGACAUCUAUCACUCCAUUGAUUGCCAGGUUGAUUCAGUUGAUCUGGCUGCCCAGUGAGUCAUUCCUUCUUUCCUCAUUGCUCCAUGUGUUUCCUUUCCAAGAAGUAGAAGAGAAUGGCCAUUCCAAAUAGGACUGUACCAAUAAUAGGGUAUUCUGUAGCUACACUCCAUUGCUACAGUCUGCAAUGGACUUUUCCAGUUGUUCAGGCUGGUUCCCCUUUGAUAGUUCAUAAUUCUAAAUUAUUCAUUUGGAAUUU
rnacentral:snRNA from 1 species